GAAAAGCCCCGCAGACCGGGAAGAUGGAGGAGGUCGCGGCGGCGGAGCGGGCGGGGACCCCUCGCCUCCUCCCGCGGGGUCACCUUGGCCAGGCCCCCCUGCGGCCCCGGGCGGCGGGGAAGGCGGCAGGAAUGCCUCUCUGCGGGCCCUGAUUUCUCCGCCCAGCCCAGUUCCAGGAACGCGCAGGCAGCGCCCGGCGGGCAGAGGUCCCGGAUCCCGAUGCCGGGCGGCGCAAACCAGUUUUCGGGGCCCGGCGCAACCCCUCACGCUGGUGAGACGGCGGGCGACUCCCUGCCGUGCCCUCGGUCUCAGUUUCCCUCACGGUAGAAUAACGACGAGGCCCGAUGCCGAGCAAUCCGAGCUUCCGCUUGGUUCCUAGCUUGGUCCCAGCAUUUGGGACCACCUGCGUCCACUAGCCCGAGCGCCGCGGGAGGUCUAGAUCCCUCCUGGACAUCAGCACCCUGCGCGGCGCCCGCGGCCAGGGCAGCGAGUGCAGUGAGCGGAUACACGCGAGGGAGAAGCCCCGCACCCGGCCCAGCUGUUUUCUGCCUCGUGUUGAACCACAGACUCGCGUUCUUGAGUGUGUUUUGUUUGGGCUAAUCCCGUGCCCCCCGCCCUGUUAUCUUCUUGCUGCUCUGCUGUAUGCUGGCAAAUUGUAGUUCAAAAAAACAGCCCUCCUGCUGUUGGACACCCCCUCUUCCCAGCGCAGUUGGCCUUGAGGAGCCUAGGAGACGAAAAAGGCAUCCCAGAAUCAGCAUCCCCUAGAGGUGAGGCAUCUGACGCUGGUUUUAAGUCCGUCUUCAUUCGUGCAUUUGAUGCUGCGGUCCCCGCCAGAGCCCGAAGCACGUGGCUCUUGAUCACAAGGCAUCCAUGGCAGGCACAAGGCUUGGCACAUAGUAGGUGCUCCUGGGCUGGUGCCCAGAUGGACACAUAGCAGGUGCUCAUGGGUUAUGUGGACACACAAUCGAUGCUCAUUGCAUUUUAAGAGAAUGCACACAUAGUAGGUGCUCAUGGGCUGGUGCCCAGAUGGACACAUAGCAGGUGCUCAUGGGUUAUGUGGACACACAAUCGAUGCUCAUUGCAUUUUAAGAGAAUGCACACAUAGUAGGUGCUCAGGACGUUGUGGGUGAAUGCACACAUAGUAGGUGUGGACUCGUAAUGGAUGCUCAUGUUUUGGUCUAAUGAACACAUAUUAGGUGCUCAUGACCUGUUGUGGAAAUGGGCACAUAGUAGGUGCGCAGGAGCUGUAGGUUGAUACCUGGAAGGGAUGUAGGAAGGCCGUUUGCCUGGAGCAAAGGCUCGGAAGUUGGCGAUUUGGAGGUGACCUCCCCCAGCCUCCACCCUCACCUCACCCCGGUCUCCUGAGUGUGGAUAAUGUGGAGUGUGGCCGGGUUAAACAUUAGCCGGGAGAUGGGCCCCGGGGGAAGGCCAGUUUCGGGACCUAGCGCUUCCAGGAGGGGGCUAUUAAGGGCCGACUCUCUGGGUCCGGCGACCUGUGCGGGCGUCCGGAAGGGCCGAGGCCGAGGCCCGCAGAGCGCCCCCUCACGGCGGCGGGAAUCGCUGCGCUUCAGCCCGGAGCCCUGCCCUGCAGCCGACCGCAUCCGACCUCAGGCAGGCAGAACUGCAGCCCUGGGGUCGAGGUGUGUAGAAAAAAGGUACAGGAGACGCUAGUUUAAAUCUGUUAGCAAAAAUGUUUAUCGGUCGGGCGCGGUGGCUCAUACCUGUAAGCCCAGCACUUUGGGAGGCCGAAGUGGGAGGAUCCCUGGAGGCCAGGAGUUGGAGACCAGCCUGGGCAACAUAGCAAGACCCCCACCUCCCACCUAGUCUCUAUUAUAUUUUUUAAAAAUUGGCUGGGCGUGGUGGCUCACGCCCGUAAUCCCAACGUUUUGGGAGACUGAGGCAGGCAGAUCACUUGAGGUCAGGAGUUUGAAACCAGCCUGGCCAACAUGGUGAAACCCCAUCCCUGCUAAAAAUACAAAAAUUAGCCGGGCAUGGUGGUGCGUGCUUGUAAUCCCAACUACUCAGGAGGCUUAGGCAGGAGAAUCGCUUGAGCCUGGAAGGCAUAGGUUGCAGUGAGCUGAGAUCAUGCCAUUGCACUCCAGCCUGGGUGACAAAGCAGGACUCCAUCUCAAAAAAAAAAAAAAGAAACUUCCAGUUCUUGGCAAGACCAGUCUUUCUUUUUUUAUUUUUCUUUGAAUUUUUUUAGAGACAGGGUCUCCUUCUCUUGUCCAGGUUGGACUGCAAUGGCUCUAUCCUACCUCACUGUAGCCUCCCUCCAACUGCAGGGUUCAAGCAAGCCUCCCACCUCAGCCUCCCAACGUGCUGGGAUUACAGGUGUGAGCCACUUCCAGACCAGUUCUUUUUCUCUACCAGACAUUUUAUUUUUUUACUUUUAUUUUUAUUUGUAUAAAUAGAGACAGGGCGGGCACAGUGGCUCACGCCUGUAAUCCCAACACUCUUAUGAGGCCAAGGUGGGAGGAUCACUUGAGCCCAAGAGUUUGAGACCAGCCUGGGCAAUAUAAUGACACCCCAGACCUUUUUUUUUUUUUUUUUUUUUGAGACAGAGUUUUGCUCUUGUCUCCCAGGCUGGAGUCCAAUGGUGCGAGAUCUCGGCUCACUACAACCUCUGCCUCCUGGGUUCAAGUGAUUCUCCUGCCUCAGCCUCCCAAGUAGCUGGGAUUACAGGCGCUCGCCACCAUGCCGGCUAAUUUUUUGUAUUUUUGCUAGAGAUGAGAUUUCACCAUGUUGCUCAGGCUGGUCUUGAACUCUUGACCUCAGGUGAUCCACCCGCUCCGGCCUCCCAAGAGACCACAUCUCUUUACAAAAAAUAAAAAGUUAGCUGGGCCUGGUGGCACACAUCUGUAAUCCCAGCUACUUGGGAGGCUGUGGUGGAAGGAUCACCGGAGCCCUGGAGAUCAAGGCUGCAGUGAGCUAUAUGAUCAUGCCACCGCACUCCAGCCCAGGUGACAGAGCAAG
rnacentral:lncRNA from 10 species